CAUUAGAUAACUAAAUUAAGUACUGGUCUCUUAAACCAUUAAUAGUAUUUUUAUUCAAUACUUCUAAUGA
rnacentral:tRNA from 1 species